GAACGCGCGCGGGAGAGACCGCCCAUCGUUUAAGGGCGGCACCGAAGGAGCAAGCUGCAGGUAGGCACAUGCAGGCAGCUAAUCUCUCAGGUACAAGGAACCGCCGCGGGACG
rnacentral:ncRNA from 1 species